rnacentral:rRNA from 1 species
ACAGAGACUGCGAGGGUUAUUCGGAUUCACUGGGCGUAAAGGGUGCGCAGGCGGCCGUGUGUGUCAGGUGUGAAAUCUCGAGGCUUAACCUCGAAAUUGCGCCUGAAACUACACGGCUAGAGUACUGGAGAGGGUAACGGAAUUCACGGUGUAGCAGUGAAAUGCGUAGAUAUCGUGAGGAACACCAGAGGCGAAGGCGGUUACCUGGACAGUUACUGACGCUCAGGCACGAAAGCGUGGGGAGCAAAAGG